ACGCACGCUGGCGGCGUGCUUAACACAUGCAAGUCGAACGGAAAGGCCCCUUUGGGGGUCCUCGAGUGGCGAACGGGUGAGUAACACGUGAGUAACCUGCCCUUGACUUCGGGAUAACUUCAGGAAACUGGGGCUAAUACCGGAUAGGAAUCCUUGCUGCAUGGUGGGGGUUGGAAAGCUUCGGCGGUUUUGGAUGGACUCGCGGCUUAUCAGCUUGUUGGUGGGGUAGUGGCUUACCAAGGCUUUGACGGGUAGCCGGCCUGAGAGGGCGACCGGCCACAUUGGGACUGAGAUACGGCCCAGACUCCUACGGGAGGCAGCAGUGGGGAAUAUUACACAAUGGGCGGAAGCCUGAUGCAGCAACGCCGCGUGCGGGAUGACGGCCUUCGGGUUGUAAACCGCUUUCAGCAGGGGCGAAGCUUGUGGUGACGGUACCUGCAGAAGAAGCACCGGCUAACUACGUG
rnacentral:rRNA from 1 species